ensembl:miRNA Gm23162 predicted gene, 23162
GAGAAUAUUUUGUGAAGGGGGAACAUGAAAUAUAUAUAUAUAUGUGUGUGUGUGUGUGUGUGUGUGUGUGUGUGUGUGUAUACACACACACACACACACACACACACACACACAUAUACAC